GACGUAGGGAGCGAGCGUUGUCCGGAUUCAUUGGGCGUAAAGCGCGCGUAGGCGGCUUCGCAAGUCGGGUGUGAAAAUCCGGGGCUCAACCCCGGACCUGCAUCCGAAACUGCGUAGCUAGAGGUAGGUAGGGGAGAUCGGAAUUCCUGGUGUAGCGGUGAAAUGCGCAGAUAUCAGGAGGAACACCGGUGGCGAAGGCGGAUCUCUGGGCCUUACCUGACGCUGAGGUGCGAAAGCUAGGGGAGCGAAC
rnacentral:rRNA from 1 species